GACUGGCCAGGUAGCAGGACCUCACAAGCUUCCCUUGUUUUGUUCCAGGGGACCCUCAGGACAUUUUGCUGAUCCAGCUGCUGUUCAAGCCUGGCUUGUGUGGCUUGUGUGGAAACAUGCAAGGUCUCUGAGCCCGGGCUCAUGCUGUUGCCUGUAGAUGAUUCCCCUGUCAGAUGUGUGAUUUCUAGGAAAGCCCCUGGAAACUGUCUUAUUAUCAAAAACUAUACUCCUGCAGAAGUAUUUUCCUUUAAGCUAAACCCAUUACGAAUUUACCUUACCAUCUUGCAAAUGGGGCAAGAAGGCUAGCUUUGGAUCCAGUCGAGACUGUGUUUAAAUCCAAGACUGGCUACGUAUUACUGCCUCCAGUCAGGUCGUCGGAAUUAUGUCAGCAAGAACUGUGCCCUUCUCCUCUCCUUGCUCUGGCUCCAUCUUGGGCU